rnacentral:rRNA from 1 species
GAUGAACGCUGGCGGCGUGCCUAAUACAUGCGAGUCGAGCGAACAGACGAGGAGCUUGCUCCUCUGACGUUAGCGGCGGACGGGUGAGUAACACGUGGAUAACCUACCUAUAAGACUGGGAUAACUUCGGGAAACCGGAGCUAAUACCGGAUAAUAUAUUGAACCGCAUGGUUCAAUAGUGAAAGACGGUUUUGCUGUCACUUAUAGAUGGAUCCGCGCCGCAUUAGCUAGUUGGUAAGGUAACGGCUUACCAAGGCAACGAUGCGUAGCCGACCUGAGAGCGUGAUCGGCCACACUGGAACUGAGACACGGCCCAGACUCCUACGGGAGGCAGCAGUAGGGAAUCUUCCGCAAUGGGCGAAAGCUUGACGGAGCAACGCCGCGUGAGUGAUGAAGGUCUUCGGAUCGUAAAACUCUGUUAUUAGGGAAGAACAAAUGUGUAAGUAACUAUGCACGUCUUGACGGUACCUAAUCAGAAAGCCACGGCUAACUACGUG